UCUAAAAACGGCUGGGUUAUUUUUUAACCCAAAAUGCUGGGCUGAGUCUGUUGGGUCAUUUUGUUGGGUUAUUUUAUUACUUUUUAAACACUUUUGGGUAGUUUCAAUUUACCAGGUGUUGAGUUAAACCUGCUGGGUUGCAACGCUGGGUUAUUUAACGCGCCUUGAAGAUGUUUAAAUCGCUUCCCAACUGUCAUUUUGGAAGAACAACGGGGCAAAGCCACUGGUUUCAACUGUUUUAAGAAGAGCACAUGGAUACAUUUGUGAGAGAAAAAACUCGUCGAAUGCAGUCUUAUCGAGACGUGUAACGGUUGGAACAAACGUGGAAUUCCUUAACCGAGCAGUCCACAAAACCCCAUCCAUUUGUCAUGGCAAUUUGAAAAUGCCAGCAGAUCAAUCAGACAUUGAUCAUAAUCAAUGGACAGGUCACCGUAGCCACCCGGAUCCAGUCUGUAUCCAGAUCAGAUGGUGGAUCAGCACCUAGAGU